AGAUCUGACUGUCUUGCUAAUUGGGGAGACCAGGCCCUAUGGAGCUUUCUCUAUCUUUCAGAGGAUUCAGCAUGCUGUGGAAUUUUGUUUCCAUUUUCCAUCUCCUUGCCUGACAGUCUUACCCUCUGCUAUGAUGUCAACUAAUAGCUCCAUGGGGAUGAUCAAAACCCGUGUCUCCAGCUGUGAUCUCUCUCCUAAGAUCCAGACCUAAAUAUUCAACUGCCUGCUCAACUUAGCACCAGGGUACUUCAUCAAAAGUGCCAGAAAAACAUCUUGGACCCACUGAUUGCAGGCCACUCCUAAUGUGGCAUGAUGGGAGGUGAAGCAGCCUGUAAUCACAGGAAGUAGUUUUACCCUGGAGAGGAGGGUAUCUGCAGGUUGUCUCCUUCUCUGAGGACCUUUGAAGGAUAAAAGGCCGUGGAGUCAUGGAAAGGAGUUCCACUUUGAAGGUCAGAUGCAGGGUAAAUAGCCCCAUGUUCUGAGACGGCGGGGCCAAGGGAGAUUCUCUGUGAUUCAAGGAAAGUAAGAAAAGCUGCCCGAGGCUUGAUGGAGGACUGAGGGAGAAGAGGGGAGCUGUUCUGCGGAGAGGUAGAUGCCUGGAUGAAACUGGAGCCGAGUGUGGCUGAGAAGGGGCGUGUCCUCUCUUCUUUUACAUGAGCUCAAAUGAGUUUUUGUUUUGCUUUGUUUUGUUUUGUUUCCACAAAGUCUUAUGGAGGCUAGCGUUUCAUGGGUGGUUACUAUAAGUUUGAUAGCACCCUUGUUAAGGAUAAGAGAGGAAGUGCUUAGCCAAUAGCGUAAUAUGCAGCAAGCAGCGGUAAACCUGAGAAGGAUGGCCGCCUCCGUGGGGUGAGCAUCUGGAAAGGCAGAUUUGGUCAGUGCAGUGGAUUGUUCUCACAGCUUAAAGCUUCAAAUUAGAUUACUGACUAGGUUAAUUUUCUUUGGGAUAUUGGAUUUAGUUUGCAUUUCAAAAUCAGAGUUCAUUAAAUUUGCAUUGCACUUGAUUAUCUUCCAUUAAGAAGCACAUCUUGAAGUUUCAUUACUGGGAAAUGUAUGUACGUUGACAC
rnacentral:lncRNA from 1 species